rnacentral:rRNA from 1 species
GUCCAUGCCGUAAACGUUGGGCACUAGGUGUGGGGGACAUUCCACGUUUUCCGCGCCGUAGCUAACGCAUUAAGUGCCCCGCCUGGGGGAGUACGGCCGCAAGGCUAAAACUCAAAGGAAUUGACGGGGGCCCGCACAAGCGGCGGAGCAUGCGGAUUAAUUCGAUGCAACGCGAAGAACCUUACCAAGGCUUGACAUGAACCGGAAACACCUGGAAACAGGUGCCCCGCUUGCGGUCGGUUUACAGGUGGUGCAUGGUUGUCGU